AGCACAGUAGAUAUGGAGUGAAGCCAGAAGAGACUAAACAUAGUUUUUUCAAAGUUUAAUGACCAUGACUUAUACACAGUACACAGUGACUUGCCAUCUAGCAGCGAACUGAUGCCCUUUGCCGUGUUUUAGAACAAAACUAGUCUUUUAGACCAUUUUCAUGAAAAUGUUAGGUUUCCAUUUGAUCAGCAGGUGCUGCGGAGAUGAAAGCCAUGUGUAAAUUUUCAGCAGGCUAAAAGUGUCAAUUCAGAAAGGGAAAGUGAUAGGAGAAAAUGCAAUCAGUUUUCCUGUUUUCAAUUUGUGCAGGAUUUGAAGAGCUGUUUUGUUGAACUGCUACAUCUGCUCCAAUAUGAAUAUUGAACUACUUCCACUAAAAAUAACAACCUAUAAUUUGGAAGCUACUGCAGCCUUUUGUUAAUGCGAAUGGGUUAUUUAAAAAACAAAACAAAAUAAAAAUAAAAAUAAAAA
rnacentral:lncRNA from 1 species